rnacentral:rRNA from 1 species
GAUUAUGGCUCAGAACGAACGCUGGCGGCAUGGAUUAGGCAUGCAAGUCGAACGAAGCAGCGAUGCUUAGUGGCGCAAGGGUGAGGAACGCGUGAGUGACCUACCCACAAGUUUGGAACAGCUCCUGGAAACGGGAAUUAAUACCGGAUGUGAUCUUCUGGUUGCCUGACUGGAAGAUUAAAGCAGUAAUGCGCUUGUGGAUGGGCUCGCGUCCCAUUAGCUAGUUGGUGAGGUAACGGCCCACCAAGGCGAUGAUGGGUAGCUGGUCUGAGAGGACGACCAGCCACACUGGGACUGAGAACUGCCCAGACUCCUACGGGAGGCUGCAGUCGAGAAUUUUGGGCAAUGGACGAAAGUCUGACCCAAGCAAUGCCGCGUGCGGGAUGAAGGUCUUCGGAUUGUAAACCGCUGUUUGGAGGGACGAAAUAUGACGGUACUUCCAGAGGAAGCCACGGCUAACUACGUGCCAGCAGCUGC